AUAGCGUAUAUUAAAGUUGUUGCGGUUAAAAAGCUCGUAGUCGAAUCUGUGUCCCGCGCCGCUGGUUCAUCGCUCGCGGUGUCCAACUGGCGUGUCUCGCGGGACGUCCUGCCGGUGGGAGCUCGGGUGUUCGUUUCGGCGUUCAUUCGGGACCCAAUUCGUAUUCGUCUUGCACGGGUACGUAUCUCAUCACGGUGCUCUUUAUUGAGUGUCGGGGUGGGCCGGCACGAUUACUUUGAACAAAUUAGAGUGCUUAAAGCAGGCCAAUUUUGCCUGAAUAUUCUGUGCAUGGAAUAAUGGAAUAGGACCUCGGUUCUAUUUUGUUGGUUUUUGGAACCACGAGGUAAUGAUUAAUAGGAACGGAUGGGGGCAUUCGUAUUGCGACGUUAGAGGUGAAAUUCUUGGAUCGUCGCAGGACGGACAUAAG
rnacentral:rRNA from 1 species